UACGGAGGAUCCAAGCGUUAUCCGGAUUUAUUGGGUUUAAAGGGUGCGUAGGCGGCUUUAUAAGUCAGAGGUGAAAGACGACAGCUCAACUGUCGCAGUGCCUUUGAUACUGUAAAGCUUGAAUACAGAUGAAGUAGGCGGAAUGUGGCAAGUAGCGGUGAAAUGCAUAGAUAUGCCACAGAACACCAAUUGCGAAGGCAGCUUACUAAACUGGAAUUGACGCUGAGGCACGAAAGCGUGGGGAUCAAACAGG
rnacentral:rRNA from 1 species